AUAUCAAUAAGCGGAGGAAAAGAAACCAACAGGGAUUGCCUCAGUAACGGCGAGUGAAGCGGCAACAGCUCAAAUUUGAAAUCUGGGUCUUUCAGGCUCCGAGUUGUAAUUUGUAGAAGAUGCUUCGGAUGUGGCUCCGGUCUAAGUCCCUUGGAACAGGGCGUCAUAGAGGGUGAGAAUCCCGUAUGUGACUGGCUGCCUCCGUCCAUGUGAAGCUCUUUCGACGAGUCGAGUUGUUUGGGAAUGCAGCUCAAAAUGGGUGGUAAAUUUCAUCUAAAGCUAAAUAUUGGCCAGAGACCGAUAGCGCACAAGUA
rnacentral:rRNA from 1 species